AUUUGGAGAUUAUAAAAUUUUCAAACCCGCCAAUGGCGAGGACAGACUGAUCCGAAAUUAUUUUUUGAUUGAUUUUGAUAUAUGGAACGUUGAAAUCGGAGUUCGUAUGCGAAAGUUAUGGCUGUUUUAUGAACGGACUCCGAAUUAGAGGACAAAACUGUCCAAAAGUGGGAAAAAUUUGCGGCGGUGGCUAUAAAUUGAUUGAAAUGGUGGGGAAAAACACACGAACUGGACUCUAACAAGACCUAACCAGCAAUAACACCUCGACCAGGACACAAACUCGACACUGCGGACUCUGAAACUGAAAUAUGCAAAGGCUAUGGCGCGGAAGGGUUGUAGGACAAGAAAACGAUAUGGACUCGACUUAUGGGACGAACACAAGAACACUCGAAACUAAGGGUAGAUGUGAACCUAACGGUAUACCUGAAGCUUUGAUUACCACUUGAUGAGAACAAGGGUGACCCGAUCUUCAGAAAGGUUAUGAUAACUCUCGGUUUGGUGGAGACGACACACAAAUCGAUCCGGCUUUCAAACAACACGAUAUGAAACUCUGCAAUUUUUUUUUAUUUUUUGAUAUUUUUCUUUUACUUAGGAGCACUAAAGAACUAACCAUAGAAAAUUUGAGCUUAAACAAGUGAAAGACGUGGCCUGCGGAAUUUUCUGAAAAUUGUGACAAAUGUGAAAAAAACAUCACGAGGUGAACACUCAAACUUCGGAGGCAAAUUUGGAGAUUCUAAAAUUUUCAAACCAGCCAGAAGCAGGAACAGACAGAUCUGAAAUUUUUUUCUGAUUGAUUUUGAUAUAUGGAACGUUGAAAUCGGAGUUCGUAUGCGAAAGUUAUGGUUAUUUUACGAACGGACUCCGAAUUAGAGAACAAAACGGUCCGAAAGUGGAAAAAAUUUGCGGCGGUGGCUAGAAAUUGAUGGAAAUGGUGGGGAAAAAUACACGAACUAGACUCUAAUAAGACCUAACCAGCAACAAGACCUCGACCAGGACACAAACUCAAAACUGCGGAGUCUCAAAUUGAAAUAUGCAAAGGCUAUGGCGCGAAAGGGUUGUAGGACAGGAAAAUGACAUGACACUGGACUUAUGGGACGAACACAAGAACACUCGAAACUAAGGGUAGAUGUGAAACCAACAGUAUACAUGAAGCUUUGAUUACCAUUUGAUGAGAACAAUGGUGGCCUGAUCUUCCGAAACGUUCUGGUACUCUCGAUUUGGUCGAGACGAGACACAAAUCGAUCCGACUUCCGAACAACACGAUCUGAAACUCUGCAAUUUAUUUUUAUUUUUUGAUAUUUUCUUUUACUUAGGAGCACUAAAGGAGUAACCAUAGAAAAUUUGAGCUUAAACAAGUGAAAGACGUAGCCUGCAGAAAUUUCUGAAGAUUGCAAAAAAUGUGAAAAAAAAUCACGAGGCGAAAAACUCAAACUUCAGGGGCAAAUUUGGCGAUUAUAAAAUUUUCAAACCCACUGUUGGUGGGUACAGAUAGAUCCAAAAAAUUUUCUGAUCGAUUUUGAUAUAUGGAACGUUGAAAUCGGAGUUCAUAUGCGAAAGUUAUGGCUGUUUUACGAACGGACUACGAAUUAGAGGACAAAACGGUCCGAAAGUGGGAACAAUUUGCGGCGGUGGCUAGAAAUUGAUGGAAACGGUGGAGAAAAACACAUGAACUGGACUCUAACAAGACCUAACCAGCAACAAGACCUCGACCAGGACACAAACUCAACACUGCACACUCUAAAACUCAAAUAUGCAAAGGCUAUGGCGCGGAAGGGUUGUAGGACAGGAAAAUGAUGUGGCACUGGACUUAUGGGACGAACACAAGAACACUCGAAACUAAGGGUAGAUAUGAACCUAACGGUAUACCUGAAGCUUUGAUUUCCACUUGAUGAGAACAAGGGUGGCCAGAUCUUCCGAAAGGUUAUGGUAACUCUCGGUUUGGUGGAGACAAGACACAAAUCGAUCCGGCUUUCGAACAACACGAUCCGAAACUCUGCAAUUUUUUUAUUUUUUUGAUAUUUUUCUUUUACUUAGGAGCUCUAAAGAAGUAACCACAGAAAAUUUGAGCUUAAACAAGUGAAAGACGUGGCCUGCAGAAUUUUCUGAAGAUUGCAAAAAAUGUGAAAAAAAAUUCACGAGGUGAAAAACUCAAACUUCGGGAGCGGAUUUGGAGAUUAUAAAAUUAUCAAACCCGCCUAUCGCGAGGACAGACAGAUCUGAAUUUUUUUGAUCAAUUUUUAUAUAUGGAACAUUGAAAUCGGAGUUCGUACGCGAAAGUUAUGCCUGUUUUAUGAACGGACUCCGAAUUAGAGGACAAAACUGUCCGAAAGUGCGAAAAAUUUGCGGCGGUGGCUACAAAUUGAUUGAAAUGGUGAAGAAAAACACAUGAACUGGACUCUAACAAGACCUAACCAGCAAUAAGACCUCGACCAGGACACAAACUCCACACUGCGGACUCUGAAACUAAAAUAAGCAAAGGCUAUGGCGCACAAGGGUUGUAGGACAAGAAAACGAUAUGGACAGGACUUAUGGGACGAAUACAAGAACACUCAAAACUAAGAGUAGAUAUGAACCUAACGGUAUACAUGAAGCUUUGAUUUCCACUUGAUGAGAACAAGGGUGGCCCGAUCUUCCGAAAGGUUAUGGUAACUCUCGGUUUGGUGGAGACGAGACACAAAUCGAUUCGUCUUUCAAACAACACGAUCCGAAACUCUGCAAUUUUUUUAUUUUUUUGAUAUUUUUCUUUUAGUUAGGAGCACUAAACAACUAACCAUAGAAAAUUUGAGCUUAAACAAGUGAAAGACGUGGCUUGGGGAAUUUUCUAAAGAUUGCAAAAAAUGUGAAAAAAAACUUCACGAGGUGAAAACUCAAACUUCGGAGGCGAAUUUGGAGCUUCAAAAAUUUUCAAACCCACCAAUGGCAAGGACAGACAGAUCCGAAUUUUUUUCUGAUCGAUUUUGAUAUAUGGAACAUUGACAUCGAAGAUCGUAUGCGAAAGUUAUGGAAGUUUUACGAACGGACUCCGAAUUAGAGGACAAAACGGUCGGGAAGUGGGAAAAAUUUGUGGCGGUGGCUAGAAAUUGAUGGAAACGGUGGGGAAAACACACGAACUAGACUCUAACAAGACCUAACCAGCAACAAGACCUCGACUAGGACACAAACUCAAAACUGUGGACUUUGAAACUAAAAUAUGCAAAGGCUGUGGCGUGGAAGGGUUGUAGAACAGGAAAACGAUAUGGCAGUGGACUUAUGGGACGAACACAAGAACACUCGGAACUAAAGGUAGAUGUGAACCUAACGGUAUACCUGAAACUUUGAUUACCACUCGAUGAGAACAAGGGUGACCCGAUCUUCCGAAAGGUUAAGAUAACUCUCGGUUUGGUGGAUACGAGACACAAAUCGAUCCGGCUUUCAACAACACAAUUCGAAAGUCUACAUUUUUUUUAUUUUUUUGAUAUUUUUCUUUUAUUUAGGAGCACUAAAGAACUAAGCAUCGAAAAUUUGAGCUUAAACAAGUGAAAGACGUGGCCUGCGGAAUUUUAUGAAGAUUGCAAAAAAUGUGAAAAAAACUUCACGAGGUGAAAACUCAAACUUUGGAGGCAAAUUUGGAGCUUCAAAAAUUUUCAAACCCACGAGUGGUAGGGACAAGCAAAUCCAAAAUUUUUUUCUGAUCGAUUUUGAUAUAUGGAACGUUGAAAUCGGAGUUCGUAUGCGAAAGUUAUGAUUAUUUUACGAACGGACUCCAAAUUAGAGAACAAAACGGUCCGAAAGUGGAAAAAUUUUGCGGCGGUGGCUAGAAAUUGAUGGAAACGGUGGGAAAAAACACACGAACUAGACUCUAACAAUACCUAACCAGCAACAAGACCUCGUCCAGGACACAAACUCAAAACUGCGGACUCUGAAAUUGAAAUAUGCAAAGGCUAUGGCGCGGAAGGGUUGUAGGACACGAAAAUGAUAUGGCACUAGACUUAUGGGACGAACACAAGAACACUCGAAACUAAGGGUAGAUCUGAAACCAACGAUAUACCUGAAGCCUUGACUACCACUUGAUGAGAACAAGGGUGGCCUGAUCUUCCGAAAGGUUCUCGUACUGUCGAUUUGGUCGAGACGAGACACAAAUCGAUCCGGCUUCCGAACAACACGAUCUGAAACCUGUAAUUUUUUCUGAUCGAUUUUGAUAUAUGGAACGUUGAAAUCGGAGUUAGUAUGCAAAAGUUAUGGCUAUUUUACGAACGGACACUGAAUUAGAGUACAAAACGGUCCCAAAGUGGGAAAAAUUUACGGCAGUGGCAAGAAAUUGAUGGAAAUUGUGGGGAAAAUCACACGAACUGGACUCUAAGAAGACCUAACUAGCAACAAGACCUCGACUAGGACACAAACUCAACACUGCGGACUCUAAAACUGAAAUAUUCAAAGGCUAUGGCGCGGAAGGGUUGUAGGACACGAAUACGAUAUGACACUGGACUUAUGGGACGAACACAAGAACACUUGAAACUAAGGGUAGAUGUGAACCUAACGGUAUACCUGAAGUUUUGAUUACCACUUGAUGAGAACAAGUGUGGCCCGAUGUUCCGAAAGGUUCUCGUAACUCUCGAUUUGGUGGACAUGAGACACAAAUCGAUCCGGUUUUCGAACAACACGAUCCAAAACCCUACAUUUUUUUAUUUUUUUGAUAUUUUUCUUUUACUUAGGAGCACUAAAGAGGUAACCAUAGAAAAUUUGAGCUUAAACAAGUGAAAGACGUGGCCUCUGGAAUUUUCUGAAGAUUGCGAAAAAUGUGAAAAAAACUUCACGAGGAGAAAACUCAAUCUUCGGAGGCGAAUUUGGAGAUUAUAAAAUUUUCAAACCCACCAAUGGUAGGGACAGACAGAUCCAAAAUUUUUUCUGAUCGAUUUUGAUAUAUGGAACGUUGAAAUCAGAGUCCGUAUGCGAAAGUUCUGGUUGUUUUAUGAACGGACUCCGAAUUAGAGGACAAAACGGUCCGAAAGUGGGAAAAAAUUGCGGCUGUGCCUACAAAUUGAUUGAAAUGGUGGAAAAAACACAUGAAUUGGACUCUAACAUUUUCUAACCAGCAACAAGACCUCGACCAGGACACAAACUCAACACUGCGGACUCCAAAACUGAAAUAUGCAAAGGCUAUGGCGCGGAAGGGUUGUAGGACAGGAGAACGAUAUGGCAUUGGACUUAUGGGAUGAACACAAUAACACUCGAAACUAAGGGUAGAUGUGAACCUAACGGUAUACCUGAAGCUUUGAUUACCACUUGAUGAGAACAAGGGUGGCCCGAUCGUCCAAAAGGUUAUGAUAACUCUCGAUUUGGUGGAGACGAGACCCAAAUCAAUCCGGCUUCCGAACAACACGAUCUGAAACCCUAUAAUUUUUGUUAUUUUUUUGAUAUUUUUUUUACACAGCAGCACUAAAGGAGUAACCACAGAAAAUCUGAGCUUACACAAGUAAAAUUUGAGCUUACACAAGUGAAAGACAUAGCCUGCGGAAUUUUCUGAAUAUUGUGAAAAAUGUGAAAAAACUUCACGAGGUGAAAACUCAAACUUCGAAGGCGAAUUUGGAGAUUAUAAAAUUUUCAAACCCACCAAUGGCGGGGACAGACAGAUCGAAAAAAUUUUCUGAUCGAUUUUUAUAUAUAGAACGUUGAAAUCGGAGUUAGUACGUGAAAGUUAUGGCUGUUUUACGAACGGACUACGGAUUAGAGGACAAAACGGUCCGAAAGUGGGAAAAAUUUGCGACGUUGGCUAGAAAUUGAUGGAAACGGUGGGGAAAGACACAUGACCUGGACUCUAACAAGACCUAACUAGCAACAAGACCUCGAAAUCGGAGUUCGUAUGCGAAAGUUAUGGCUGUUUUAUGAACGGACUCCGAAUUAGAGGACAAAACUGUCCAAAAGUGGGAAAAAUUUGUGGCGGUGGCUAUAAAUUGAUUGAAAUGGUGGGGAAAAACACACGAACUGGACUCUAACAAGACCUAACCAGCAAUAACACCUCGACCAGGACACAAACUCGACACUGCGGACUCUGAAACUGAAAUAUGCAAAGGCUAUGGCGCGGAAGGGUUGUAGGACAAGAAAACGAUAUGGACUCGACUUAUGGGACGAACACAAGAACACUCGAAACUAAGGGUAGAUGUGAACCUAACGGUAUACCUGAAGCUUUGAUUACCACUUGAUGAGAACAAGGGUGACCCGAUCUUCAGAAAGGUUAUGAUAACUCUCGGUUUGGUGGAGACGAGACACAAAUCGAUCCGGCUUUCAAACAACACGAUACGAAACUCUGCAAUUUUUUUUUAUUUUUUUGAUAUUUUUCUUUUACUUAGGAGCACUAAAGAACUAACCAUAGAAAAUUUGAGCUUAAACAAGUGAAAGACGUGGCCUGCGGAAUUUUCUGAAAAUUGUGACAAAUGUGAAAAAAACAUCACGAGGUGAAGACUCAAACUUCGGAGGCAAAUUUGGAGAUUCUAAAAUUUUCAAACCAGCCAGAAGCAGGAACAGACAGAUCUGAAAUUUUUUUCUGAUUGAUUUUGAUAUAUGGAACGUUGAAAUCGG
rnacentral:lncRNA from 1 species